CACCCUCAGCAUCCUCCUCGCCUUGUCUUUGCUUUUCUUUCCUCACUUCCCCUCCCUGCCCCAGGAUGUGGGGAGGAGAGGAAGUAGCAGGGGGCACCCUGCACAGUGGACGCCCAAUAAAUGCUAUUGACUGAAUGUUGUGCAGAUCUGAAGCCAAAACCGAAAUCCCCAGCUGCUUUAACAGAAGGCCAACGCAGCUCUGUUCCCCGUACGCACUGCCUGGCAAAAGACAACUGAUCUGGCAUGAAGGAGAGAGAAGAGGUGUAUGAGUGAAAUUCAUCUGACAAGAAAAAGAAAGCAAGAGGACAAAAUCAACAGCUGAUUUGGAUACCAUCAAGACACCUGAAACCUUAUCAUGAGCCAGAUGCCGAGGAAGAGACUCCAGGAGGAUCCCGAGGACCCCCCGGUUGCAGCCAUGUCGAGACUGAUGCUGAGGAGGACCCCAACUGUCACGAGCAACACCCGUCGAACACAGCCACACACCUGUGGACAGAUCAAGAAGCUGUCACAGAUGGCGGAAGAAAACCUGAGGAAAGCGGGACAAACAGUCACAAUGAAUAAUUUAAUCGUAGCUAUGAUAGCGGUUAUCACCACUGCCAUGAGUAUUCCUUCAGUAAGGACUGGCAAUAAUGCCUGGAUGCAAUCACUCUAUGACACAGUUACACAUGCUUUCUGAUCUCAGUAUUUACCAUAAUAAAUCUGCUCCUAUAAUUGAGGCAUACCACCCUCAAAAACCUAUUUGUAAACAGGAUUGGACCCAGUUAGAAAAAAUGAAUGUACUUGUUUAGGAAGAUUGCUUUGCAGAACAGGCAGAGGUGCUGCACAAUGAUUCCUAUGGAAUCAUUAUUAAUUGGUCCCCUAAGGGGAUGUUUAGCUUGAUUUGCACCUCUCAGUCUGCAUGCCAUGGUCACACUAUGUUCAGAUAAUCUGAACAAAAUGGUCAGAUGGUAGAAAUGAUAAGAAGUACAGCAAAAGUUCCUGUUAUCUGUAACCAUGAUGGUAUAGUGGCACCUCAACCUCAAAUGAUAUGGCCCGCUCUAGGAGCUAAACAUAAGGAUUUGUGGAAACUAUUAAAUGCAAACUUUGGGAAAGAAUAAAAAAGCAUCUAGAAGGACACUCUACAAACUUGUUUUUGGAUAUAGCAAAAUUAAAGAACAAAUGUUUAAAGCAACCCAGGGACACCUGACCUUAAUGCCAAGAACUGGAGUGCUUAAAGGAGCUGCAGACAAAUUAGCAGCUAGUAACCCAUUAAAAUGGAUAAAAACACUUGGAAGCUCUGUGAUUUCAAUGAUGACUAUGCUUUUAAUAUGUGUUGUUUUUGUAUAGUCUGCAGAUGCAGAUCCCGACUCCUGCGAGAAGUAGCUCACCGUGACAAAGCUGCCCUUGCUUUUAUCGAUUUGCACAUCAGAGAAGGGGGACAUGUUGGGAGCAAGCCCCCCAAAAUCUGGCCAUAAACUGGCCCCAAGACUGGCCAUAAACAAAAUCUCUGCAGCACUGUAACAUGUUCAUAAUGGCCCUAACACCCACACGCAAAGUUGUGGGUUUAUGGGAAUGAGGGCAAGGAACACCUGGCCCGCCCAAGGCAGAAAACUGCUUAAAGGCAUUCUUGAGCCACAAACAAUAGUUCCAGUGAUCUAUGCCUUAAAGGCAUGUUCCUGCUGCAGUUAACUAGCCCAACCUAUUCCUUUAAUUCGGCCCAUCCCUUCGUUUCCCAUAAGGGAUACUUUUAGUUAAUUUAAUAUCUAUAGAAACAAUGCUAAUGACUGGUUUGCUGUUAAUAAACACGUGGGUAAAUCUCUGUUCAGGGCUUACGGCUCUGAAGGCUGUGAGACCCCUGAUUUCCCACUUCACACCUCU